GUCUACGGCCAUACCACCCUGAACGCGCCCGAUCUCGUCUGAUCUCGGAAGCUAAGCAGGGUCGGGCCUGGUUAGUACUUGGACGGGAGAAUCACCCAAGGGGCUUUCAAAAAUACUGGUGCGUGGGUC
rfam:Felis catus isolate Cinnamon breed Abyssinian chromosome A2, whole genome shotgun sequence.